rnacentral:rRNA from 1 species
GACGAACGCUGGCGGCGUGCUUAACACAUGCAAGUCGAACGAAGUGGCGAACGGGUGAGUAACGCGUAAUCAACCUGCCCUUCAGGGGGGGACAACAGUUGGAAAGGACUGCUAAUACCGCAUACUGAAGGAGGGGAUGGCGGCGGAUUAGCUAGUGGGGGGGGUAACGGCGCACCAAGGCGAUGAGCAGUAGCCGGUCUGAGAGGAUGACCGGCCACACUGGGACUGAGACACGGCCCAGACUCCUACGGGAGGCAGCAGUGGGGAAUCUUCCGCAAUGGACGAAAGUCUGACGGAGCAACGCCGCGUGAGUGAAGAAGGUUUUCGGAUCGUAAAGCUCUGUUGUUAGAGAAGCGGUAUCUAACCAGAAAGCCACGGCUAACUACGUGCCAGCAGCCGCGGUAAUUC